rnacentral:rRNA from 1 species
GGUGAACCUGCGGAAGGAUCAUUACCUAGAGUUGUAGGCUUUGCCUGCUAUCUCUUACCCAUGUCUUUCGAGUACCUUACGUUUCCUCGGCGGGUCCGCCCGCCGAUUGGACAAUUUAAACCAUUUGCAGUUGCAAUCAGCGUCUGAAAAAACUUAAUAGUUACAACUUUCAACAACGGAUCUCUUGGUUCUGGCAUCGAUGAAGAACGCAGCGAAAUGCGAUAAGUAGUGUGAAUUGCAGAAUUCAGUGAAUCAUCGAAUCUUUGAACGCACAUUGCGCCCCUUGGUAUUCCAUGGGGCAUGCCUGUUCGAGCGUCAUUUGUACCUUCAAGCUCUGCUUGGUGUUGGGUGUUUGUCUCGCCUCUGCGUGUAGACUCGCCUCAAAACAAUUGGCAGCCGGCGUAUUGAUUUCGGAGCGCAGUACAUCUCGCGCUUUGCACUCAUAACGACGACGUCCAAAAGUACAUUUUUACACUCUUGACCUCGGAUCAGGUAGGGAUACCCGCUGAACUUAAGCAUAUCAAUA